UUAAUCAUUGCUUUGGUUUUCCUGCAAAGAAGAUCGCGGAGGAGAUAUGUUGCGAUGGCCCUGAAACCAACUGAGGGAGUUGCUGAAAUCUCAAUGGCCGAAUCUUUACAGUAUAGCUUAACUGAAAUUCAAAUUGCCACAAAUAACUUCUCUGUGGAUAACAAAAUUGGCGAAGGUGGAUUUGGUCGUGUAUACAAGGGUGUACUUGGUAAUGGACAAGAAGUAGCUGUUAA